UGCGAAUGGCUCAUUAAAUCAGUUAUCGUUUAUUUGAUAGUACCUUACUACUUGGAUAACCGUGGUAAUUCUAGAGCUAAUACAUGCUAAAAACCCCGACUUCGGAAGGGGUGUAUUUAUUAGAUAAAAAACCAAUGCCCUUCGGGGCUUCUUGGUGAUUCAUAAUAACUUAACGAAUCGCAUGGCCUUGCGCCGGCGAUGGUUCAUUCAAAUUUCUGCCCUAUCAACUUUCGAUGGUAGGAUAGUGGCCUACCAUGGUAUCAACGGGUAACGGGGAAUUAGGGUUCUAUUCCGGAGAGGGAGCCUGAGAAACGGCUACCACAUCCAAGGAAGGCAGCAGGCGCGCAAAUUACCCAAUCCCGACACGGGGAGGUAGUGACAAUAAAUACUGAUACAGGGCUCUUUUGGGUYUUGUAAUUGGAAUGAGUMCAAUUUAAAUCCCUUAACGAGGAACAAUUGGAGGGCAAGUCUGGUGAACAYUCAGCUAGUUCCAUUCUGCUGACGCCAGAGAUAGUAGGGCCUCACCCUUUGUACAGGUGAGGUUAUGCCUGCUAGUCGAUGCAUCCACAAGCAGCGAUGGGUGGAUGCCGGCAAGGUGACCUGGUACGGGGAAGCCUAAGGGCCGCUGACCUACUUCAAAGGGAGGGUCGGCAAGCGCCUAUGGUAAUCCCGUGGCGAGCCGGAGCGAUCCGGCCGUCGUAACGCGCGGAAAGGCACCGGCUGUCGCUCGGAGAGAGCGAUGGCUCAAGGGACGUGCUGUCCCAUCCGAAAGGAUGCCGCAGGCUGGAGCACCCAUCGUGCAAAGGUCUGCGGGGGCAACCCUCCACUCGGGGGGGUCCGCCUGGGUAAUGAUAAAACGGCCAGCAGCCGCGGUAAUUCCAGCUCCAWUAGCGUAUAUUAAAGUUGUUGCAGUUAAAAAGCUCGWAGUUGAACCUUGGGCCUGGCUGACCGGUCCGCCUCACCGCGUGCACUGGUUCGGCCGGGCCUUUCCUUCUGGGGAUCCGCAUGCCCUUCACUGGGCGUGUCGGGGAACCAGGACUUUUACUUUGAAAAAAUUAGAGUGUUCAAAGCAGGCCUUUGCUCGAAUACAUUAGCAUGGAAUAAUAGAAUAGGACGUGCGGUUCUAUUUUGUUGGUUUCUAGGACCGCCGUAAUGAUUAAUAGGGAUAGUCGGGGGUAUCAGUAUUCAAUUGUCAGAGGUGAAAUUCUUGGAUUUAUUGAAGACUAACUACUGCGAAAGCAUUUACCAAGGAUGUUUUCAUUAAUCAGUGAACGAAAGUUAGGGGAUCGAAGACGAUCAGAUACCGUCGUAGUCUUAACCGUAAACGAUGCCGACUAGGGAUCGGGCGAUG
rnacentral:rRNA from 1 species